rnacentral:rRNA from 1 species
UGAUGUGGCCAGACCGGCUCGUCAAAGUCUGAUCUCGUCAAAUCUCAGAAGCUAAGCAGGGCUGGGCCUGGUUAGUACUUGCAUUGGAGACCGCAGGGAACAUUAGGUGCCACAUUGG